AAAGGACAGUGCACGAAGAAGAAGGGAAAGCUUUGGAAGCUUUAACGGAACGAUUGGACGGGAUGAAAAGUGAGCUCAAUCAAUUAGAAAAGGUGUUGGAAGAAGCAGAGACGAACUCUGUUGCAAGUGUCAAAGAAACGACCACUCCCCAUGGAUACAAAAACAAGAAAACUUCCUCGGCCCGUACUUCAACCGUCCCUGCCACAUCCCCGUGGUCAACUAAGGAAGCCUUUCUGUCUACUUUUCGCCCACAAACUACCAAAGUCGAACAGAGUACAGGUU